GUGAUAGAUGAACUUCUAGAUGAAUUACAUGGAGCACAAUGGUUUACAAAGUUGGAUCUUAGGGCAAGAUACCACCAAAUAAGGUUAGCCCCUGGAGAAGAAUAUAAGACAGCCUUUCAAACUCAUCAUGGUCAUUUUGAGUUCCUGGUUGUGGGUUUUGGUCUGACAGGAGCUCCAAACACCUUUCAAGGAGCUAUUAAUGUAUACUUGUCUGAAGAACCUGACAUGCUUAGGAAUUUUGUCAUUGCAUUCUUUGAUGACAUACUAAUUUUCAGUAAAACAUUGAAACAGCACCUUGAACAUGUCAAAAGGGUUUUGGCAGUUUUGAGAAGAGACAAACGGUAUGUAAAACUCUCCAAGUGUGAAUUUGCUUCU
rnacentral:rRNA from 1 species